GAUGAACGCUGGCGGCGUGCCUAACACAUGCAAGUCGAACGGUGAGGCGCGGAGCUUUUUGGUGGGUGGGGAGGAGCGGCGAAGUGGGGAGCAAGAGGUUAGUAACCUUCUACGUCUGGGAGGACAACCGCAAGAAGGUGUGGCUAAUAGGGGAUAUUCUGGGUCUCAUGCAUGAUGGGUCAGGGAAGGAUUUUGUGUCGGUGGUGGAUGGGCUCGCGGCCUAUUAGCUUGUUGGUGGGGUAAUGGCGUACCAAGGCGGCGAUGCGUAGCCGGCCUGAGAGGAUGGUCGGCCACACCAGAGCUGAGACACGGCCCAGACGCCUACGGCAGGCAGCAGUAGUGAAUCUUACUCAACGGGCGGAGGCCGGAUGAAGCAGCGCCGCGUGGUGGAUGAUGGUCUUCGUCUGGUAGAGCUCUUCUAUCGGGGAAGAAGCAGGGCUGACUUAUUUGUGCGCGUCUUGACGGUACCUGAACAAGAAGCCCCGGCUAACUACGUG
rnacentral:rRNA from 1 species